rnacentral:sRNA from 1 species
CAUUUUACCAAGACUCGUAUUCCAUACUUCUAAAACGAGGUUCUUUGUUUAAAGCAGCCAUGACAUUAUACGAAAAAGGGUCGAUCUGACUACGAUGAAUUUGCUUGUUUAUGCAACAGUUCGUGUAUGAAGGGAAAUUUUUGAAACAUGCAAAAUAUAUUGGUGCCGAUUUUGUGAAGUAAAUUGAGGCUAAAUAUUUCAAUGCGUUGACAGAUUUCACACAUGACGUUGGUGUUAGCUUGUACUGAUUUUCGUUUCGUAUUCAUUAUUUAUGCUUUGUAAUUUAACCUGGGAACUCUCGUAUUUCGUGAUUUUUACGUAUCAAUUCAAACAGAGACUUCGGUAGAUCAAACAGUUAACUCUUUACCUGCGCAAAUUAAGCAAAAUCUGAUGUAUCAAAAAAGUACUGAAAUACAAUUCAUUCUAUCGGUAAUUCGUCAUUAUCUUUUGCGUAAUGGUAGAUUAAUGCAAUAGGUUUUGUUGAGAUCGAUGCUCGGCAUUUUCUCGAGUUUAUUCAGUUUAAAUAGAGUUUGAUAUCGCUGAAGGAAAUAUGUAGGUAUAUAUACAUGUAUAUAUGAUUCAUUUCGAAAAAAUAAAUUGUGUUCUUUAUUUGUUAUAGUGCAUGCAUGUUUCUUGUGUUUAAUUGUUUACAAUUUCUAUUUACUAACCAUAUUUGAGUGUUAAGCUUCGAAUUAUAAGCAAUUAAGAUACAGAGAUUUGCUCACAAUUCUAUGUUUGUACACAGAUCUUAAAAACUAAAGAUUAAAAAAGUAAAAAAUUUGUCAAUAUUUAUUAAGAAAAAUUUUCAAAGUCUGUUCUUCCAGAAACCAAUUUUAACAACUUAUUGUAUUGUAAACUUAACCUUUUUUCGUCAUUAUUACUCCUACUGUACAUGUGAUCCUUGACUGUGUUUGUGUACAUUUGUAUAAACUGAUUUUGAACCUUAAAUACCAAUGAACUGGUCUUGAGUGAAUAAAAGAAUUGAAAAUCUU